rnacentral:rRNA from 1 species
UACGAAGGGAGCUAGCGUUGUUCGGAAUCACUGGGCGUAAAGCGCACGUAGGCGGAUGUGUCAGUCAGGGGUGAAAUCCCGGGGCUCAACCUCGGAACUGCCUUUGAUACAGCACGUCUUGAGUCCGGAAGAGGUGGGUGGAAUUCCUAGUGUAGAGGUGAAAUUCGUAGAUAUUAGGAAGAACACCGGUGGCGAAGGCGGCCCACUGGUCCGGUACUGACGCUGAGGUGCGAAAGCGUGGGGAGCAAAC